UACGUAGGGGGCAAGCGUUGUCCGGAUUUAUUGGGCGUAAAGAGCGUGUAGGCGGCUAGGUAGGUCCGUUGUGAAAACUCGAGGCUCAACCUCGAGACGUCGAUGGAAACCAUCUAGCUAGAGUCCGGAAGAGGAGAGUGGAAUUCCUGGUGUAGCGGUGAAAUGCGCAGAUAUCAGGAAGAACACCCGUGGCGAAAGCGGCUCUCUGGAACGGUACUGACGCUGAGACGCGAAAGCGUGGGGAGCGAACAGG
rnacentral:rRNA from 1 species